rnacentral:rRNA from 1 species
GUAGGUGGCAAGCGUUGUCCGGAAUUAUUGGGCGUAAAGCGCGCGCAGGUGGUUCUUUAAGUCUGAUGUGAAAGACCCCCGGGCUCAACCGGGGAGGGUCAUUGGAAACUGGGGAACUUGAGUGCAGGAGAGGAAAGUGGAAUUCCACGUGUAGCGGUGAAAUGCGUAGAUAUGUGGAGGAACACCAGUGGCGAAGGCGACUUUCUGGCCUGUAACUGACACUGAGGCGCGAAAGCGUGGGGAGCAAACAGGAUUAGAUACCCUGGUAGUCCACGCCGUAAACGAUGAGUGCUAAGUGUUGGGGGGUUUCCGCCCCUCAGUGCUGCAGCUAACGCAUUAAGCACUCCGCCUGGGGAGUGCGGUCGCAAGACUG